UAAAGUCAAAGAUUUAUCGGUAUGGGAUGGGCCCGCGUCUGAUUAGCUAGUUGGUGAGGUAAUGGCUCACCAAGGCGACGAUCAGUAGCCGACCUGAGAGGGUGAUCGGCCACACUGGAACUGAGACACGGUCCAGACUCCUACGGGAGGCAGCAGUGGGGAAUAUUGCACAAUGGGCGAAAGCCUGAUGCAGCAACGCCGCGUGAGCGAUGAAGGCCUUCGGGUCGUAAAGUUGUCCUAAGGGAAGAAUAAAUGACGGUACCUUAGGAGGAAGCCCCGGCUAACUACGUGCCAGCAGCCGCGGUAAUACGUAGGGGGCAAGCGUUAUCCGGAAUCACUGGGCGUAAAGGGAGCGUAGGCGGCCAAUCAAGUCUGAGGUGAAAGGCUACGGCUUAACCGUAGUAAGCCUUGGAAACUGGUUGGCUUGAGUGCAGGAGAGGAGAGUGGAAUUCCUAGUGUAGCGGUGAAAUGCGUAGAUAUUAGGAGGAACACCAGUGGCGAAGGCGACUCUCUGGACUGUAACUGACGCUGAGGCACGAAAGCGUGGGGAGCAAACAGGAUUAGAUACCCUGGUAGUCCACGCUGUAAACGAUGAGUGCUAGGUGUCGGACGCAAGGUUUCGGUGCCGCAGUUAACGCACUAAGUGCUCCGCCUGGGGAGUACGCACGCAAGUGUGAAACUCAAAGGAAUUGACGGGGACCCGCACAAGCAGCGGAGCAUGUGGUUUAAUUCGAAGCAACGCGAAGAACCUUACCAGGACUUGACAUCCCUCUGACAGCUCUUUAAUAGGAGAAUUCCCUUCGGGGACAAGGAGACAGGUGGUGCAUGGUUGUCGUCAGCUCGUGUCGUGAGAUGUUGGGUUAAGUCCCGCAACGAGCGCAACCCUUAUCUUUAGUAGCCAGCACGUAACGGUGGGAACUCUAGAGAGACUGCCGAGGAUAACUCGGAGGAAGGUGGGGAUGACGUCAAAUCAUCAUGCCCCUUAUGAUCUGGGCUACACACGUGCUACAAUGGCGAUAACAAAGGGAAGCAAAAGGGUGACCUCUAGCAAACCCCAGAAAAGUCGUCCCAGUUCGGAUUGUAGUCUGCAACUCGACUACAUGAAGUUGGAAUCGCUAGUAAUCGCGAAUCAGAAUGUCGCGGUGAAUACGUUCCCGGGUCUUGUACACACCGCCCGUCACACCAUGGGAGUUGGAAGCGCCCGAAGCCAGUGACUCAACCGCAAGGAGAGAGCUGUCGAAGGUGAAGCCAAUGACUGGGGUGAAGUCGUAACAAGGUAACCA
rnacentral:rRNA from 1 species